AAAAACAGGAAAGGGCAGACGGUGGAUGCCUAGGCUCUCGGAGGCGACGAAGGACGUGAUAAGCUGCGAUAAGCUACGGGGAUCGGCACAUACGAAUUGAUCCGUAGAUUUCCGAAUGGGGCAACCCGGUACAUUGAAGAUGUAUCACACCGCAGAGCGGUGAGCGAACGUGGGGAACUGAAACAUCUAAGUACCCAUAGGAGAAGAAAACAAAAGUGAUUCCCUUAGUAGUGGCGAGCGAACGGGGACUAGCCCAAACCUGCAUUGUUUCGGCAAUGCAGGGGUUGUAGGACUCCGAUAUAUGAAGACAAGGUUAGGAGAACGGUCUGGAAAGGCUGGCCGUAGAGCAUGAAAGCUGCGUAUCCGAAAACUUUAGUCGAAGUUAGGAGUAUCCUGAGUAGCGCGGGACACGUGAAAUCCUGUGUGAAUCUGCGGGGCCCAUCCCGUAAGGCUAAAUACUCCCGAGAGACCGAUAGUGAACCAGUACCGUGAGGGAAAGGUGAAAAGAACCUCGAACAGAGGAGUGCAAUAGACCCUGAACCCGUCUGCCUACAAGCGGUAGGAGCAGCCUUUGAGCUGUGACUGCGUGCCUUUUGCAUAAUGAACCUACGAGUUACUUUCUCUGGCAAGGUUAAGAGAUGAAGAGUCUCGUGAGCCGAAGCGAAAGCGAGUCUGAACAGGGCGAUUUAGUCAGAGGGAGUAGACGCGAAACCAAGUGAUCUACCCUUGGUCAGGUUGAAGGUUGGGUAAAACCAACUGGAGGACCGCACCGGUAAGCGUUGAAAAGCUUUCGGAUGAACUGAGGGUAGGGGUGAAAGGCUAAUCAAACUUGGAGAUAGCUCGUACUCCCCGAAAUGCAUUUAGGUGCAGCCUGUGGAGUUUCUUGUGUGAGGUAGAGCGACUGAUUGGAUGCGAGGCUUUCACCGGCUAUCAAGUCCAGACAAACUCCGAAUGCAUACAAGUAAGAUCCAUGGAGUGAGGGCAUGGGUGCUAAGGUCCAUGUCCGAGAGGAGAAGAAUCCAGACCAUCGGCUAAGGUCCCGAAAUAAUAGCUAAGUUGACCAAACGAAGUCAGAGUGCUAAGACAGCUAGGAUGUUGGCUUGGAAGCAGCCAUUCAUUUAAAGAGUGCGUAACAGCUCACUAGUCGAGUGCUUUGGCGUGGAUAAUAAUCGGGCAUAAGCUAUUUACCGAAGCUGUGGGAUGUAUAAUACAUCGGUAGGGGAGCAUUCUAGCGGCGCUGAAGGUAGGAGGACAACUUCUGCUGGAGCUUCUAGAAAAGCAAAUGUAGGUAUAAGUAACGAUAAAGGAGGUGAGAAACCUCCUCGCCGAAAGACUAAGGUUUCCUGAUCAACGCUAAUCGGAUCAGGGUUAGUCGGGGCCUAAGGGGAAGCCGAACGGCGCACCCGAUGGAAGAACCGGUUAAUAUUCCGGUACUAAUUAUGUGAGCGAUGUGGAGACGGAGAUGUGACGGUCCUGCCAGCUGACGGAAUAGCUGGUUAAAGGGUGUAGGUGUUGAUCGGGGUAGGCAAAUCCGCCCUGAGAGCUGAACCUGACAGUACUCUGAGUGCUUGCACAAGGAGAUAUGGACAAAGUAACGGCGCUCCCAAGAAAAUCCGCUAAGCAUAUUGCAUGAUUACCCGUACCAUAAACCGACACAGGUGGUUGGGUUGAGUAUACUAAGGCGCUCGAGUGAUUCGCGGUUAAGGAACUAGGCAAAAUAGUCCUGUAACUUCGGAAUAAAGGACGCUCACUUAACAGGUGAGCCGCAGAGAAUAGGCCCAGGCGACUGUUUAACAAAAACACAUGGCUAUGCAAAAUCGAAAGAUACAGUAUAUAGCCUGACACCUGCCCGGUGCUGGAAGGUUAAGAGGAGAUGUCAUCGCAAGAGAAGCAUUGAAUUGAAGCCCCAGUAAACGGCGGCCGUAACUAUAACGGUCCUAAGGUAGCGAAAUUCCUUGUCGGGUAAGUUCCGACCUGCACGAAUGGUGUAACGAUCUGGGUACUGUCUCAACCGCGAGCUCGGUGAAAUUGUAGUAUCGGUGAAGAUGCCGAUUACCCGCAACGGGACGAAAAGACCCCGUGAACCUUUACUAUAGCUUUGCAUUGGAUUUGGGUAACAAAUGUGUAGGAUAGGCCGGAGACUA
rnacentral:rRNA from 1 species